rnacentral:lncRNA from 1 species
AACUAAUUAGUCAAAACAAACAGAAAAGGAAAAAGGGAUCGGUGGCAGCAAGUAGGCCGGUGACGACGACCGCCGAGUGCCACCCGAACAGGGAGAGGAGCCACCUUCAGUAGGAGUCGUGACAAGCAGUGUCAUCAUGCACUCUGGAAUGCAUGCUUCUCUAGUGUCCACUUUCCAACUACCUUCAUCAGCAGCUGUUACCAAAGCAGACUUCAUACUGGUAUUCUGGUGUCCCCAGCCCAGCAAGAUGUCUCUCUGCCUCUGCCAUCUCUGCUUCAGGAGGACAACAGCAACACAUUCAGCCCUAUAUUCUGAAAACUCCUGUGAUUUCUGUUUUACAUUGUGUAAUCGCUUACUGCUUGGACCUGACCCAGCAGCAACAGACAGACAGGAGCAGACGGACAAUGUGCAGAUGUUGUCACUGAUUUACACACGACAGCUGAACAGAGGACAGCAGAUGAAAGGAGAGGCCCUCUGGAUCACAGGGACACAGCAGUAGCAGUCUCCACCAGCUGUGCAGAUCUGUGGAGGGACAUAGGGGAAAAGGACAUAACAAUGUAUGGAUCAUGGCUAUAUCACUCCCUGCACAUUUCCCCACAGGCAGCUCAGGGAUUCGAACCGGCAACCCUCCCGAUACCAGCCUACCGCUCUAACCUUGAGGCUACUGCUGUGCCCCAAGUACUCUAACAUGGGCUGGGUUCUUCCAUUCCUCCUCAGUCUUUCUCUGGGCAGUAAGCUACUUACACGGAGUUUGUCGCCCUGCUGGACAAGAGACUCUUGUAAUAAAGCAGAUCAAUCUGACUGGAAUAAAACCAUGUGACCAAUAAAUGUUUCAUAGCCUCGAUCGGUCUAUUGUCUUGUUUCCCACCCUCUGUUAAAAGCUUU